rnacentral:rRNA from 1 species
CAGCCGUAAACUAUGCUCGCUAGGUGUCAGGCAUGGCGCGACCGUGUCUGGUGCCGCAGGGGAGCCGUGAAGCGAGCCACCUGGGAAGUACGGCCGCAAGGCUGAAACUUAAAGGAAUUGGCGGGGGAGCACAACAACGGGUGGAGCCUGCGGUUUAAUUGGAUUCAACGCCGGACAUCUCACCAGAGGCGACAGCUGUAUGAUAGCCAGGUUGAUGACUUUGCUUGACUAGCUGAGAGGAGGUGCAUGGCGUAGACGUCU